rnacentral:rRNA from 1 species
GCCUACGAAGUAAAACUUUAAAUAGAAUUGGACGGAGAGCACAGCGAACGGGAGGAGCGUGCGGUUCAAUUGGUAUCAACGACCGUAAACUCGACCGGAGCGACGAUUACAUGAAGGUCAGGCCGACGACUUUACCUGAUUUUCGAGAGGUGGUGCAUGGCCGUCGUCAGUUCGUACCGUAAGGCGUUCUGUUAAGUCAGAUAACGAACGAGACCCUCGUCCUUAAUUGCCAACCCAUUCUCCGGAGUGGGCGCACAUUAAGGGGACCGCUGGCGCUAAGUCAGAGGAAGGAGAGGUCAACGGUAGGUCAGUAUGCCCCGAAUCUCCCGGGCUACACGCGCGCUACAAAGGACAGGACAAUGGGAUGCAAUACCGAGAGGUAACGCCAACCCCGAAACCUGUUCGUAGUUCGGACUGAGGGCUGUAACUCGCCCUCACGAAGCUGGAUUCCGUAGUAAUCGCGGGUCAACAUCCCGCGGUGAAUAUGCCCCUGCUCUUU